AUCUUGCUGAGCUACAGCAAUAACAACCUUAGGCCGAAUGUGAGGUACUACCACCUACAUGCACAGGUUGCAGAGAAUGCACCCCUUGACGCAACUUUCCUGGUAACAUGUCCCUGCUCUGCUGGGAAUUCAGAUAGACACAUACCUACUGCAAGGAGCUUUUUUCUUCUUCAGCUCUGUUGAGCAUUGUUUCCUAUUCCUCCUGUUGUGUCAGAAGAGUCUUGGUCACCUUCUGGUUUAUUCCUUUUUUUCCUUCUACCCACAGAAUAUUAGAAUAUGUUGAUAUGACAGUCAGGUGAGAGAGAAAGCUAGAUAAGCUUUCCCAUGAAUUGGCCUGGGAAGCUUUAGGGAGCUGAAGAGAAAGAAUUGUAAAAUAUCUGCAGGUGGUGUUUGUAACAAGAUGUUUCUCAUAAGAGGUUUUACUCCAAGGGUGUCUUCUUAAUUAGCCAAUUGUGUGAAAAGUGUUGAUUAAAUGACUAAUCAGGUCCACCUGUAUCAGACCAGGGUAUAAAAGAAGGAGUUUCAAAAGACAUGGGGCUUUUAGCUUCUUAGCACUCUCACUUAGGGUCUGUGUCAUUCUUGAAUUAAUGGUGGCAAGACUAUUCUCCCAUUUUCUUUUUCUUAAUGACAGUGGUGAUAAAUUGAAGAGAAGAUGUUUUGGGGUGAUGCAGAGGACCAGACACUAUUCAAACAUAAGGUGCAGAGGAUUUUGUCCCUUCGUAUAUCUGAAAGUCCUAGCGAGCCCUUCUGUUAGAGAGCCCCUCCAGGAACGGAGAUGUGCAGUGUGCUGAAAAGGGAUCCCAGGGGCACAAGAGAUGGUGGGAGUUGGAAACCACAAGCAAUUUCUAGCCCUUUUGUCUGGGCUAAAAAUGUACAUCUUGUAUCUGUUCUUUUCUAUGAGGUUCUUAAGGGUUCUGCUGCAAUCCUGCUCCAGCGUAAUGGCUCUGCAUGAAGGAGAUAUCCAGCUUUCAUUCAGAAUAGAGAUUUAAGCAUUCCCAUGUAAUUCCAUACUGAAUGGCUGGAUGGCAGAUUUUUGUGCUGAAGUUCUGAGGAGCCAGUCCAUACAAGGUUCUUUGACUAAUCAUUUUGCUCCUCAAGUCAUCCCUAAAAUUUAAAUUACCCAGACAGUUCUUCAAAUCCCAGUUCAGCUCAUUAGGAAGUGUGAGUCCCUGGGAACAGCAAACCCAGCACAGGACACCUUGCAUGCAGUGCUAUCUUUUGUAUGCUGUUUUUAACAGCUUUCUGAAAAAGAGGUUCAAUUACAGUUUGCCUUGGAAGAGGUUUUUUCUGAGCUGCUGAACCUCUCAAGCAGUGUUUACAGGCGAGUGCCUGCCAGGCUUUGAUGUUUGCUGGAGGAGGUCCAGCCCAUGGGCAAGGCACCAGCUCCAGCUCCUGCUGGAGGGGCCAA